AAAUACAUUGUUAAGCUUGGAAGGCGUGCCAAUGAUCUUAUCUUUGAUUGGUUGAUGAGGUUGGUUUUUAUCAGAUAAUCAUGAUGUUGACCCGAUUGCAUUGCCAGAAAAUGAUGAAUUGAUUAUGUAUAAGAAGCUAUGGUAACGGAUUGGUGGAAAAUGGGAGGUGCUGGCGUCAAUUUUCCCGGUGUUGCUCAUUGAUUGGAGGACAAGCUGGUUCAACAGUGCGGUAAGAAAUCUAUAAUCACUCUCUCUUAGAAUUAAGGCAAUCAUUGGUUCGAGCCGACCUUGAUUAUCCGAUCUGGAUUUUUACACAAGCUAGGUACUCAUAAAAUAUACAUGUUUUAAUUUAGGUUGAAAUUCGAAGCCCAACAAAUUGGAAUAAACCUUAAUGCAGAAUGAGUUCUUUAAAUUUUCCAUUUUUAUUGAUCAAUAUUGAAAUAGAGAAAAUUACAUGGAGAUGUCACUUUAGAUGUGGAAAUUGAAAUGUGUUGACCAACUUUUGGUUUUUUUUUUUAAAUAUUACAAUAGAGAAAAUUGCAUAGAGACGUCAUUUUUAGAUUGGCAAAGUGAUAUGUCCGGACUAUUUUUUUUUUAAGUUCACAUUUUCAAUUCAAUUCCACUAUUUUACAUUUUUCUUUAAAUAAGUUCAUUUUUCAAUUCAAUUCUUCAGAAGUUACUAUUUUUUUUAAAAAAUAAAUUCUCUCUUCUCCUUUUAGACAAUCUAAACAUUCUCGACGAACCAUGUAGAGUUGAUGAAGUUUCUACUACAGUUAGACAACACAAUCUUGACCCAUAAUUUGUUAAUAUACUAUCACUCUUAAUAAUGAGAAAUUGUAGUUUUGAAUGGCACAUAUAAUUAAUUGAAUCACAAGACUUUGG
rnacentral:lncRNA from 1 species